rnacentral:lncRNA from 1 species
CCGACAAACUUUGGAGCCUUUGCCUCUGAAUCUGUUUACAUAUUUGUGAGGAAAAUGCAGCUGCAUUACUGGUGUCAGUGGAUUUAACCUCAGGCACAGCAUGCCUUCUAGAAAUACUUAAAGAUCUCAAGAGAUGGGAAACAGCAGUGCAUCCUUGGAUAAGAGAUCUAGUAUAUACCUAUGCACAGAGAGGAAGUCUGCAGUAUUCAGCCAAGUCAUGGAGAAAUAAGUCAGCCAAGUGAUGGAGAAAUUGCCCAGGCUUCUAGCAAAAGUAUUGGAGGAAAGUAAAAUUGAUAUUCUCCUUCAAAGAUGGCCUCAUCUGGUGCGUGAAAUGAUCUUAGAUGCUUUCUGCAUCUUAAAAUGUGUAAGCAGUCUUGAAUUCUUCAGGAAGAAAGACCUUCUCCAAAGGCAAGGUAAAGGAGUAAUAUAGUUGUCCAGACUGUGGCAAAAUAUCAUAAUUAUGUUUAAUAAA